rnacentral:rRNA from 1 species
AACGAACGCUGGCGGCAGGCUUAACACAUGCAAGUCGAACGGUCUCUUCGGAGGCAGUGGCAGACGGGUGAGUAAUGCAUGGGAAUCUACCGUUCUCUACGGAAUAACUCAGGGAAACUUGUGCUAAUACCGUAUACGCCCUUUUGGGGAAAGAUUUAUCGGAGAAUGAUGAGCCCAUGUUGGAUUAGCUAGUUGGUAGGGUAAAGGCCUACCAAGGCGACGAUCCAUAGCUGGUCUGAGAGGAUGAUCAGCCACACUGGGACUGAGACACGGCCCAG